GUGGGGAAUCUUGCGCAAUGGGCGAAAGCCUGACGCAGCCAUGCCGCGUGAAUGAUGAAGGUCUUAGGAUUGUAAAAUUCUUUCACCGGGGACGAUAAUGACGGUACCCGGAGAAGAAGCUCCGGCUAACUUCGUGCCAGCAGCCGCGGUAAUACGAAGGGGGCUAGCGUUGCUCGGAAUUACUGGGCGUAAAGGGCCCGUAGGCGGACAGCUUAGUCAGAGGUGAAAGCCCAGGGCUCAACCUUGGAAUUGCCUUUGAUACUGGCUGUCUUGAGUUUGGGAGAGGUGAGUGGAACUCCGAGUGUAGAGGUGAAAUUCGUAGAUAUUCGGAAGAACACCAGUGGCGAAGGCGACUCACUGGCCCAAUACUGACGCUGAGGCGCGAAAGCGUGGGGAGCAAACAGGAUUAGAAACCUCAGUAGUCC
rnacentral:rRNA from 1 species